rnacentral:sRNA from 1 species
UCACUCCACUAGACAGCAGGCCGCUGGACCAACUUUCCUCCUGCCUGUCAUCACUGAGGGCAGAGAUUACUGGACUGCAGAAACAGAUGGACAGACAUACGACAGCUGUACACACCUCCAGUCAGUCUUGGAAGAAUGUCCAGAUUGAAGUGAAUGACCUAAAUGAGGUCAUGAGAACGGUUGCCAACACAAUCAUAGCUGCUAAUAGCAGUAGCACGAUACAGAUGACAACAGCGGUAGACAGGGAGCGGGCCGACAUCAUGCAUAUAUGAAACAUCACAACAUAGUGUUGACAUCAUCAUCUGUGAUAUGAAACUCUUUUUGAAGGGAGAGUAAUUCUCUUCAUUGGAUCUUCCAGUUGUCAAAAUGGCUUUGACAUGUGCAGAACCCAUAGUACAAGUUAAUUUUGUUGACUUCAGAAUACCUGUACACAUUUAGUUUACCUUUUUUUA